GAUGAACGCUGGCGGCGUGCCUAACACAUGCAAGUCGAACGGAAAGGCCCUGCUCUUGUGCGGUGCUCGAGUGCCGAACGGGUGAGUAUCACGUGAGUAUCCUGCCCUUGUCUUUCGGAUAACUUCAGGAAACUGGGGCUAAUAUCGGAUAGGAGCUCCUGCUGCGUGGUGGGCGUUGGAAAGUUUCGGCGGUUGGGGAUGGACUAGCGGCUUAUCAGCUUGUUGGUUGGGUAGUGGCUUACCAAGGCUUUGACGGGUAGGCGGCCUGGGAGGGGGGACGGGCACCAGAGGCCUGCGAGAGGGACCAGUCUGCUAUGUUAGGCAGUAGGCGGAAGCAUGGCACAGUGGGCGGGAGUCUGUGACGGCGGCGCCGGGUGCGUAAUGCCGGCUUUCGGGGUGUGAACCGCUUUCGCCUGAGACGAAGCGUGAGUGACGGUAAUGAGUAAAGAAGCACCGGCUAACUACGUG
rnacentral:rRNA from 1 species